UACGUAGGGUGCAAGCGUUAAUCGGAAUUACUGGGCGUAAAGCGUGCGCAGGCGGCUUUGCAAGACAGAUGUGAAAUCCCCGGGCUUAACCUGGGAACUGCAUUUGUGACUGCAUGGCUGGAGUGCGGCAGAGGGGGAUGGAAUUCCGCGUGUAGCAGUGAAAUGCGUAGAUAUGCGGAGGAACACCGAUGGCGAAGGCAAUCCCCUGGGCCUGCACUGACGCUCAUGCACGAAAGCGUGGGGAGCAA
rnacentral:rRNA from 1 species